CUUCACGGAGCCCAGCAGCAGGGGGUGUUCGGCGUCCCGGCCCUGACCGUAGGUCGCCAGCAGGGCCUGGGCCUC
rfam:Streptomyces sp. 769, complete genome.